rnacentral:rRNA from 1 species
UAGGGAAUCUUCGGCAAUGGGGGGAACCCUGACCGAGCAACGCCGCGUGAGUGAAGAAGGUUUUCGGAUCGUAAAGCUCUGUUGUUAAGGAAGAACGAGUGUGAGAAUGGAAAGUUCAUGCUGUGACGGUACCUAACCAGAAAGCCACGGCUAACUACGUGCCAGCAGCCGCGGUAAUACGUAGGUGGCGAGCGUUGUCCGGAAUUAUUGGGCGUAAAGCGCGCGCAGGUGGUUUAGAAAGUCUGAUGUGAAAGCCCACGGCUCAACCGUGGAGGGUCAUUGGAAACUAAUAAACUUGAGUGCAGGAGAGAAAAGUGGAAUUCCUAGUGUAGCGGUGAAAUGCGUAGAGAUUAGGAGGAACACCGGUGGCGAAAGCGGCUUUUUGGCCUGCAACUGACACUGAGGCGCGAAAGCGUGGGGAGCAAACAGG